rfam:Triticum aestivum genome assembly, contig: Triticum_aestivum_CS42_TGACv1_scaffold_578716_7BL
GUAGUAUUCCCUCCAUCCCAAAAUUCUUGUCUUACAUUUGUUUAGAUACGGAUGUAUCUAAUACUAAAAUGUAACUAGAUGCAUCCGUAUUUAGACAAGUUUAAGACAGGAAUUUUGGGACGUAGGGAGUACAAA